rnacentral:rRNA from 1 species
CCUACGGGAGGCAGCAGUGGGGAAUAUUGCACAAUGGGCGAAAGCCUGAUGCAGCGACGCCGCGUGAGGGAUGACGGCCUUCGGGUUGUAAACCUCUUUCAGCAGGGAAGAAGCGAAAGUGACGGUACCUGCAGAAGAAGCGCCGGCUAACUACGUGCCAGCAGCCGCGGUAAUACGUAGGGCGCAAGCGUUGUCCGGAAUUAUUGGGCGUAAAGAGCUCGUAGGCGGCUUGUCACGUCGGGUGUGAAAGCCCGGGGCUUAACCCCGGGUCUGCAUUCGAUACGGGCUAGCUAGAGUGUGGUAGGGGAGAUCGGAAUUCCUGGUGUAGCGGUGAAAUGCGCAGAUAUCAGGAGGAACACCGGUGGCGAAGGCGGAUCUCUGGGCCAUUACUGACGCUGAGGAGCGAAAGCGUGGGGAGCGAACAGGAUUAGAUACCCUGGUAGUCCACGCCGUAAACGGUGGGAACUAGGUGUUGGCGACAUUCCACGUCGUCGGUGCCGCAGCUACGCAUUAACGUUACCCGUCCGUCGGGAGGUACGGCCGGCCGACGGACGUAAACCUACGAAAGGAAAGUUAGACGGCGUGAGACGUGCCGAACGGACGACGACCGAGGGAGUAGG